AGAGUUUGAUCCUGGCUCAGGACGAACGCUGGCGGCGUGCCUAAUACAUGCAAGUCGAGCGGACUGAUGGGAGCUUGCUCCCAUCAGUCAGCGGCGGACGGGUGAGUAACACGUGGGUAACCUGCCUGUAAGACUGGGAUAACUCCGGGAAACCGGGGCUAAUACCGGAUAACUCAUUUCCUCGCAUGAGGAAAUGUUGAAAGGUGGCUUUUAGCUAUCACUUACAGAUGGACCCGCGGCGCAUUACCUAGUUGGUGAGGUAAUGGCUCACCAAGGCGACGAUGCGUAGCCGACCUGAGAGGGUGAUCGGCCACACUGGGACUGAGACACGGCCCAGACUCCUACGGGAGGCAGCAGUAGGGAAUCUUCCGCAAUGGACGAAAGUCUGACGGAGCAACGCCGCGUGAGUGAUGAAGGUUUUCGGAUCGUAAAGCUCUGUUGUUAGGGAAGAACAAGUACCGUUCGAAUAGGGCGGUACCUUGACGGUACCUAACCAGAAAGCCACGGCUAACUACGUGCCAGCAGCCGCGGUAAUACGUAGGUGGCAAGCGUUGUCCGGAAUUAUUGGGCGUAACGCGCGCAGGUGGUUUCUUAAGUCUGAUGUGAAAGCCCACGGCUCAACCGUGGAGGUCAUUGGAAACUGGGGAACUU
rnacentral:rRNA from 1 species